UUACUAAAUACGAGGAUCAUGGGGAAUUAUACUUCGAUUGAAGAAAUGGUCAAACCCGACAGCAAGAGCCCAUGGGGAAAUCAUUUUGCAUUCUUGCAGGUUCCCAUUCCCAAGUUGACUGAAUUCUCAAAUGCGCUUAACUUCGUCUGGGAGGCUCAAAAAUUUAUCAAGAUGAAAAGAAAUUCUUUAGCUAUUUAUUUCACUAGUGGGGUAUUGAAGAUGUUGAACAUGUUUGAAGGCCAUGAGGUAAGUAAAUUUAAGAAUUAGUUUGGUAGACAUGAUUGAAUUGAAAUAGAUAAUUUUUACGUAUUAAGGUAUAUUGAAGACGGAAAUGAAUGAUUUUCAUUUGGAAGGGAUCAUAACAGGAUUAGUUAUGAAGAAAAUUUAUUCUUUCUAAUCGUACUAUUUUAUGAAGGACUAUAAUGAACAAGUUUUCUUUAGUUUAGUAUCUAAUCCAUCCAAUUAUGUACACCAAAGGAGCCCUAAGAAAAUGCAUGCGAUAUUACAUAUGUACAACAUUUAUUUAAAACUUAGAAUGCUACUUGUGGUGCAGGCAGCAUCAAGAUACAUCCGUAGAACAUUAAAGAACUCGAGCAUGGCAUUCACAAAUAUGAUUGGGCCCGUGGAACAAAUGUCUUUGGCAAACCAACCAAUAAAAGGAUUAUACUUUAUGUUAGUCGGAUCACCUCAGGUAAGCAACAGGGUCUCAAAAGUUUUGGAAACAAUAUGCAUCGUUUUGUUUUCAAAAUUAGGUGCAUAUAAAAUUAAAAGUUAUAUAAACAUACUUUCACACACACACACACACACACACACACACAUAUAUAUAAGGUGUGUAUUCUCAAUGAUAGCAUAGACAUGUUAUAUAUAUAGGUAACACAAUUUACGUGUACCUGCAGGAUCUUGACAUAUCAGUCCUAAGUUAUAUGGGAAAGGUGAGGCUUACCUUAACAAUGAAAAAAGGCACCAUAGAUCCACAAAAACUGAAGUUGUGCAUGGAAAACGCCCAUGAUAUGAUAUUCAAUGCCUCGGACAAAUAUCCUGUGGAAAAUAGCACUGAAAAAUAGUCACUCAUUUGAAAUUCUACUAUUACACAGAACAAAUUAUAGCGUUAUUAUGCGCAUUUCUGUCGAAAUUUAUAAUUUGAGUAAGAAGUUAUUGAAAACUUACAAAAUAAUACUACAUUUGUAAUAGUUGAUUAAUAACUAUGAUUUUGUUAUUACUUGUGUGUAUUUGAACUUUUUAUUUUGUGAGUAUUCUUAUUAACACGUCAUCUUCAUAUGAGUUGAACCAUCAUUAACUUCAAUUAUUCUUUUAAACUUUUAAUUGUGUAAAUGAUAAAAGAUAUUACGCUUUGAUGUCUAGAUACGUUUAAGAUCCAUAAGUCGCAUUCGGUAGAACCGACUAGAACUCAUAGGUAAAUUAGAUCUGAUAUACAAUACAAUAAAACUUAACAAUAACCUCCAAUAGAAUAAAAAAUAACAAUAACCUCUAGUUCACAGGAAAAAUAGUUAUUCAAAUGAACUCAUCAUUACCAGAAGGUUACAAACUCCAGUCUCUACGUGUCCUCCAUCCUCCUUUUUUCAUUCUCUUCCAUCAUUUUAUUCAUCUGGCUCCAUCAUCUCUUUGACCAUACCAAAUUCCAUUCAACUACUGUUGAUGUUCACCGUAAUUUGUCACGAAUCUAUGGGAGGGUGUGUAGAGCUUUUGGCUCGGGUGUUCGCACCAUCACUUUUGUGAACCCUUGUUGGUCCUCCCCGAUGUUCGCCCUUGUUGGCGAUGUUUCUUGCGGGAUCUGUCAUCUUGCUUGCUUCCUUGGUUCUUGGUUCAGUUUGUGGCGGCAGAUGUUUUGGUGGCUCUACGAGGUUGAUCUAACUUUUUUUUUCUUCAUGUUGGGGUUUUUGUUGUCGAGAUCUCUAGUGCUAGCCAAUCGGUGAUAAGGUUGCUAGGGUUUUGUUUCUAUGUGUUUGUUGUGGACUCAACCUUUAGGCUGGGUUUUGCUCCUGUUUGUUUGUUCUGGGCUCAACUUUUGUGUUGGGUUUUUUGUUUUGGGGGUCCAUCUAUUAGUGUUUAACUUUAUUUGUAAUUGGGCCGUUGUAUAUGUAUGCUUUUUUUUUUUUUUUUUUU
rnacentral:lncRNA from 1 species